rnacentral:lncRNA from 1 species
AUGGCUCCAUUCCUGUUUGAGAGCGAUUUGCACUCACUGCUUCAACUGGAAGCGCCAAUCCCCAAUGCACCUUUGCUCGCUGGCAGUGCAAAGCAGAGGAAAAGCAGAGGCCCUCCACGUGGGCCUCCAACAGAUCACACAGCGCAAAGCAGAGGCCCUCCACGUGGGCCUCCAACAGAUCACACAGCGCCCUAGGACCCCGGGGUCAGAACUCCUGGCAAAUCUAAUUUCUAGGUUCAGACCACCCCUGGCAAACUUGGAGGUGAUCACUAUAUCCCCCAACGCAGUGCUACCCAAAUGGAGGUGGGUGGCGGGGAGAGACGGGGGGGGGGGGGCGGGGGGGCGGGGGGGGAGGGAGACGCCCACCAAGAAAGAGCAUCAGAAAGCCUGGGCUCUGAACCUUUUUGAUGUGGAGGAAGCCAAGAUCUUCAGGCUCAGUGGAAAACCUCAGAGUGCCCCAGAAGGCUACCUACCAGAACAGACUAGAAAAGAAAAGACUCUACAGUCAGAAAGCCAUGCCUGGCUUCAGCUGGAAGGCUUGCAGAUACAUUCCUUUCCUGCUAGACAGGAGUCUUGAUGCCCCUGAAAUCCGGAACGACUACUACCUGAAUCUUGUGGAUUGGAGCUCCGGAAAUGUUUUGGCUGUGGCACUGGACAGCAGUGUGUACUUAUGGAAUGCUGGUUCCGGUGGCAUCUUGCUCUUGGCUGCGAAUGGAGCAGCCUGGGGACUACAUAUCCUCGGUGGCCUGGAUCAAAGAGGACAACUACCUAGCUGUGGGCACCAGCAAUGCUGAGAUGCAGCUAUGGAAUGUGCAGCAAGCAGCACACUCUGCUCGAGUAAGCUCCCUCAGUUGGAACAGCUAUAUCCUGUCCAGUGGUUCCCGGUCUGGCCACAUCCACCACCCUGAUGUUCGGGUAGCAGAACACCACGUGGCCACACUGAGUGAGCGGCCAAAGCCAGGAAGUAUGUGGGCUGCCCUGGGCCCCAGAUGGAUGACAUCUGGCAAGUGGUGGCAAUGAAAACAUCGUCAGACAAAGUGUGGCCUAGUGGUCCUGGAGAAAGUGGCUGGGGUCCCCUGCACUCAACAUCAAGGUGCUGUCAACGCUGUUGCAUGGUGUUCUUGCCAGUCCAAUAUUCUGGCAACAGGAGGAGGUACCAGUGACCGACACAUUCGCAUUCGGAACGUCUGCUCUGGGGCCUAAGUACUGUGGAUGUGCAGUCCCAGGUGUGCUCCAUCCUGUGGUUCCCCCACUGUAAAGAGCGUAUCUCAGCUCAUGGCUCUGCCCAGGAUCAGCUGGUUAUUUGGAAGUACCCAACCAAGGCCAAGGUGGCUGAGGUCAAAGGUCACACAGCCUGGGUCCUGAGUCUUACGAUGAGUCCAGAUGGGGCCACAGCAGCAGCAGCAGCAGCUGAUGAGACUAUGGUUGUGGCUCUGCUUUGAGUUGGACCCUGCCCUUUCUCAGGAGCGGGGGUGGGACAGGGCCUGGGGAGGGGGAAGCCAGUGUAGCUAAAAGUAGCCUUAUCCACCAAGGCAUCCAUUGA